UUCGAACCAGAGUUACUGUCAUGCAAGUU
rnacentral:piRNA from 1 species